rnacentral:rRNA from 1 species
UGGCGGACGGGUGAGUAACGCGUAAGAACCUGCCCUUAGAGGGGGACAACAGCUGGAAACGGUUGCUAAUACCCCAUAAGCUGAGGAGCAAAAGGAGGAAUCCACCUAAGGAGGGGCUUGCGUCUGAUUAGCUAGUUGGUGAGGCAAAGGCUUACCAAGGCGACGAUCAGUAGCUGGUCUGAGAGGAUGAUCAGCCACACUGGGACUGAGACACGGCCCAG